ACUCCUACGGGAGGCAGCAGUGGGGAAUAUUGGACAAUGGGCGAAAGACCUGAUCCAGCCAUGCCGCGUGUGUGAAGAAGGUCUUCGGAUUGUAAAGCACUUUAAGUUGGGUAGGAAGGGCGAGUUACCUAAUACGUAAUUGUUUUGUACGUUACCGACAGAAUAAGCACCGGCUAACUCUGUGCCAGCAGCCGCGGUAAUACAGAGGGGUGCAAGCGUUAAUCGGAAUUACUGGCGUAAAGCGCGCGUAGGUGGUUUGUUAAGUUGGAUGUGAAAUCCCCGGGGCUCAACCUGGGAACUGCAUUCAAAACUGACUGACUAGAGUAUGGUAGAGGGUGGUGGAAUUUCCUGUGUAGCGGUGAAAUGCGUAGAUAUAGGAAGGAACACCAGUGGCGAAGGCGACCACCUGGACUAAUACUGACACUGAGGUGCGAAAGCGUGGGGAGCAAACAGGAUU
rnacentral:rRNA from 1 species